rnacentral:rRNA from 1 species
UACGUAGGUGGCAAGCGUUGUCCGGAUUUACUGGGCGUAAAGAGCGCGCAGGCGGUCGUUCAAGUCGCGUGUGAAAGCCCCUGGCUCAACCAGGGAGGGUCAUUCGAUACUGUUCGACUCGAAGGCAGGAGAGGGAAGUGGAAUUCCGGGUGUAGUGGUGAAAUGCGUAGAUAUCCGGAGGAACACCAGUGGCGAAGGCGACUUUCUGGCCUGUUCUUGACGCUGAGGCGCGAAAGCUAGGGGAGCAAACGGG